GACGAACGCUGGCGGCGUGCUUAACACAUGCAAGUCGAGCGGAGCGGCGAACGGGUGAGUAACGCGGGAGUAACUGACCCCCUCUCUGGGAUAACAGUUGGAAACGGCUGCUAAUACCGGAUAGGGGGGGAUGACUCGCUUCCUAUCAGCUUGUUGGUGGGUUAGUGGCCUACCCAGGCGACGACGGGUAGCCGGCCUGAGAGGGAGAACGGCCACAUUGGGCUGGUGUACGGCCCAGACUCGUGCGGGAGGCAGCAGUGGGGGAUAUUGCACAAUGGGCGAAAGCCUGAUGCAGCGACGCCGCGUGGGGGAUGAAGGCUUUCGGGUUGUAAACCUCUUUCGCCAUCGAACGGGUAGGUGGAGAAGAAGCGCCGGCUAACUACGUGCCAGCAGCCGCGGUAAUAC
rnacentral:rRNA from 1 species